CCUACGGGAGGCUGCAGUGGGGAAUAUUGCACAAUGGGGGAAACCCUGAUGCAGCGACGCCGCGUGAGCGAUGAAGGAGUUCGGGAGGUAAAGCGCUAGCAGCAGGGAAGAAAAUGACGGUACCUGACUAAGAAGCCCCGGCUAACUACGUGCCAGCAGCCGCGGUAAUACGUAGGGGGCAAGCGUUAUCCGGAUUUACUGGGUGUAAAGGGAGCGGAGACGGCGGUGCAAGCCAGAUGUGAAAGCCCGGGGCUCAACCCCGGGACUGCAUUUGGAACUGUGCUGCUAGAGUGUCGGAGAGGCAGGCGGAAUUCCUCGUGUAGCGGUGAACUGCGUCGAUAUUAGGAG
rnacentral:rRNA from 1 species